CGCGGCCUAUCAGCUUGUUGGUGGGGUAAUGGCCCACCAAGGCUUCGACGGGUAGCUGGUCUGAGAGGACGAUCAGCCACACUGGGACUGAGACACGGCCCAGACUCCUACGGGAGGCAGCAGUGGGGAAUCUUGCGCAAUGGGCGAAAGCCUGACGCAGCAACGCCGCGUGGGGGAUGAAGGCUCUCGGGUCGUAAACCCCUUUCAGCAGGGACGAAACUGACGGUACCUGCAGAAGAAGCCCCGGCCAACUACGUGCCAGCAGCCGCGGUAACACGUAGGGGGCAAGCGUUGUCCGGAUUUAUUGGGCGUAAAGAGCUCGUAGGUGGUUCGGUAAGUCAGGUGUGAAACCUCCAGGCUCAACCUGGAGACGCCACUUGAUACUGCUGUGACUGGAGUCCGGUAGGGGAGCGUGGAAUUCCUGGUGUAGCGGUGAAAUGCGCAGAUAUCAGGAGGAACACCAGCGGCGAAGGCGGCGCUCUGGGCCGGUACUGACACUGAGGAGCGAAAGCGUGGGUAGCAAACAGGAUUAGAUACCCUGGUAGUCCACGCCGUAAACGUUGGGCACUAGGUGUGGGUCUCAACCAACGAGAUCUGUGCCGUAGCUAACGCAUUAAGUGCCCCGCCUGGGGAGUACGG
rnacentral:rRNA from 1 species